GGAGAGGCGGCGUACCUGGCGGCGCCGGGACUCGGUGGGCGGCGGUGGGGGCGCGCGCGGCGCUCUCGGCCUCCCCCGCGGCCUCCGCCAUUUGCAGACCCGUCGCAUCUUGUCCUGCGUCCUGCGUCGGCGAAUGAGGAUCCCUCAGCCUGGAAAGGGGCCCUUCCGCCCCCGAGCUCCCGCCGAGCCCCGUUAGGACCCGGUCCUUUCCCGUUCGAGGCUACUGUGGCCCUCUGGAAGCUCCCCGGGCUCCAUCGCAGCAUCCCAUUACCCAGCCCGUCCCCCCCUCCCCUUCCCCCUCCCCCCUUCUCCCCUUCGCAGCUGCUGGAGCUGGGACUCUGUCCAACACCUCGGGAUGCUCUCAUCUGGGCUCGUGGCUUUCAGGGCCACUCUACACAGACCAAUCCCAGGCAUUUGUCUGCUGCUUUGAUCAAUUCGGAGAACUCUGGACUCAGAUCAGCCGUAGACCCCCUCAUUCUCUCUAGUUGCACGUUUAAUCCGCAUCUGAUUAACUUUGUGUCUCCAAACCAAGGCUCCCGGUUUUUCCCUCUGAGAUUAACCUUCGGCCACUCGGUUCACCACCGCGGGAACUGGUGCUGUUUAUCCAACUGCUCAUCCUUGGAGUCAUCCUGGACUUCUCUCUCACCCCGACAUCUGUUCUGAUUGCAAAUCCUGCCCUCUCCAUCGAUAAUGGGUGACCCGAAUCUGAUCACUUCUCACCAUCUCCAUCUCCUGCCUCUCUACAACAAACCCCACGUCCCCUGCCCUUCCCUGCCCGGGGUUACCGCAAUCGCCUCCUAAAAGGUCCUUCUACCUCUGUUCUUGCCCCCAGUACUUAACUCUCCACACAGCAGCCGGGGUCCUGCUAAAAUCUGUCAGAUCAUGUCUUUCCUCUACUCAGUACUCCUCUCCCGAGUGAUCUCUAGUCACAGAGUGAAAGCCGGACUCCUUACUUAGGCUUACAAAAACAUAGACGACUUAACCCCUCGUCACCUCAUUUCACCAUUCUGUUCUAGCCACCCUUUCUUCACCCAGAACUUUCGCUCUUCAUUCAGAUCUCAAAUGUGACCUCCAGAGAUGACUUUCCUUACUGGGGAUUAAAACAGGACACCUGCCUGCACCACCAUAUGCCCUUAGCUUGCUUAUGUUUUCUUCAUAGCAUUUCUCUCUCCCUGAUAUUAUUUGCGUGUGUCUGUCUCCUUUGCUAGAAUGUAAACAUUUUGAGAUAAGAAUGUUUUGGUCACCACUGUGUGGUCCCGACCUAGGAUAGCUCCUGGCACAGGGUGGCUUCUCAGUAAAUUGUUGUAUGGAUGAACAGUUAGAUGAGGGCAGGGCGCAGACAGGAUGUCUGGUGAGCUGAGUGAACAAAUGAUGAGAAGCGUGGCAACACCGAGAGGGGGAGGCAGGAAAGAAGUCUAGAGGUUGUGUUGAGCCCUGGUGCACGAUGCCUUCAAAGGAAGGCUAUGAAAUAACCUCUUCAGUAUCAGCUUCCUGCCAGGGAGUUGAGCUUUUAUUCAUGCUCAUUCUUUUCCUUCCCAGGUCUGGAACUUAGUUUAGCUUCUCAUGCUUCCUGAGCUCAUCCUUUUCCGUCUCAAAGCUGAUGAUUCCCCAAUUUACAUGCUCAUUCAGGAUCUCCCAACUUCCAGGUCACACAAACUGUACUUUCCAGAGGCAAUUGCUUGGGGGCAUGUCUCACAGGCACUUCCAACUCAAUAUGUUCAAAAAUAAUCUGCAUUUAUACACUUUCUUCCCCUAAAUAAACCUGCCCUUUAUCCACGCUCCUCAUUCCCAUCACUGGCCCCAGGACUCAGUGGGGUGUGCAAUACUGAAACCAAGAGUAGUCCUCUAGCUAUACCCCAUGGAUCACCACUCUUGUUGCUCCUACUUAAUGCCUUGCAACUCCUGGUUUCUUGCACCCUGUGGCACCAGGAACCAUGCGUAAUUGCAACUUAUCAGUGUGAUAGCCCAUAUUAUACUAUAUAUAUGAAUCUCUAUCUUGUGUGCUAGAAAAUGGUUGAGAACUGUGUGCAGCGUGUUUCAUUAUCAUGCCUUCCAAAAACCCAAAUCCCAUAUUGCUCCCCAACCACAAGAUCCAAAUUCCAAUGUGUGUAUAAGGAUUCCCAUACAGACAAGCAAUUCUUGGGCACCAGCUGGGGUGUCCUACAAUUCAACUCAAUUCCGGCACUAUUUACCCAGAGAUAGCAUCAGAUCCCACAGGUUGAGGUCUCAGUUCUACAAGACUGCCCUCCUCUCCAGAUGCCAAUAACAAGCCCAGGUUAUCACCUAUGCUUUUGACCAACCGGCUAUACUUUGGGGGCUCCAGUGAUCUCCAAGCCCCCUUGGACUUCAGAACCAAUCACAAGUCCAGGUCUGUGUUUUGGGAAACUAUAUUCCCUUCAAAGAUCUCCCUGCAGUGAGAUGCUCAUUCUAUGAGAUACACACCGAAACAGACUAAUUGAUGGUGCUAUGCAUGAUACGUCCAGUCCCACGUUUGUUCUGUGAUGCAGGCACGUUAUGUGGAAUUGUGAUUUCUCUCUCCAUAGCGUGAUCAUUGAAUUUCUAUAGUCACAGAGAGAGAGAGAGAGGCAGAGACACAGGCAGAGGGAGAAGCAGGCUCCAUGCAC